rnacentral:rRNA from 1 species
GACGAACGCUGGCGGCGUGCCUAAUACAUGCAAGUCGAGCGGACAGAAGGGAGCUUGCUCCCGGAAGUUAGCGGCGGACGGGUGAGUAACACGUGGGCAACCUACCCUGUAGAUCGGGAUAACAUCGAGAAAUCGGUGCUAAUACCGGAUAAUCAUUUGAAGUGCAUGUUUCGAAUGUAAAAGAUGGCUCCGGCUAUCACUACGGGAUGGGCCCGCGGCGCAUUAGCUAGUUGGUAAGGUAAUGGCUUACCAAGGCAACGAUGCGUAGCCGACCUGAGAGGGUGAUCGGCCACACUGGGACUGAGACACGGCCCAGACUCCUACGGGAGGCAGCAGUAGGGAAUCUUCCGCAAUGGACGAAAGUCUGACGGAGCAACGCCGCGUGAGUGAUGAAGGUUUUCGGAUCGUAAAGCUCUGUUGUUAGGGAAGAACAAGUGCCGUUUGAAUAAGGCGGCACCUUGACGGUACCUAACCAGAAAGCCACGGCUAACUACGUGCCAGCAGCCGCCGCAGUAA